CAAAGUGUUGAUGGUAGCUGCACUAGGUAUUUUGAUAACAAUUCUUGUUGGAGCCUAAAAAACUCAUGAUGUCCCUCAUGUGACUCACCAGAAAGGUGCUCAAAGCACUUGGAAACAGCACGUCCACCGGCUAAUGGAAGCCCCCUGAAGUGGUUGCCUGGGGCUCCAGGGGUGACUAUGUGUUACAUCCUCUGGGAAGUGGCUUUUUUGCGUUUUGCUUCUGGAAGGAGGUCAGAAGCAAAGAGGAAGUGUCAUUUCCGUCCUGGAACGAGUGAAUCAGGAUUGAAACCUAUUAUGGUUCCAGCUCUUUGGACCCACGUGCCCUGAAACCAAACUGCGCCCAUCUGCAGCAGAUGGGCUCGACUGCUGGAAGGGCAGGGGACAAGCCGUCGGCAGGGAAGGGUCAGAAAAGGGGCUCAGGCUGCAGCCACACCUGGGCUGGGCCAGGUUAUUUACAAAGCACGGCCAAUCAGUUGUUGCUCUGGCUUCUGUUCAUCAUUCAUGACUGUAAACCUGAGGUGCGCGUGCCUUCAUCAGGGGAGGAGACCGAGCUCUGGGCCACUUGAUGGAUGUGACUGUGUUUGUGAAUUCAGGCUGGCCUGCUGUCUUCGUGGAUCUGACCCGUGGGUAUAUAGAAAGCCAUGCAAAUUAGCAUGGGCCUGGGGCCAGAAAAAAACUAAUCCAGGCCUAAAAGCAAUCACGUAAAAGGUGUCAAAGGGCAAACAAGGAGGGAAAUAUGACUGGGAACCAUGCUAGGUUUUCAGGUUUCUCUAGCUCCUCACCUUGUGAUUGUUUUUUCCUUCUGUCACUAGAAAACACGCAAAUGUAGGGAGAGCUGGUGGGAAGCUUUCCAAAUAGUCAUGGGAUGAGAAAGAAGUUCACGUUGAAAGUUGAAUUGGAUUCUGAGAGGGCUUCCUGCCUCCUGAUCUGAAGUGGCCGCCAGGCCAGCCCUUAGUCCUGCCCUAGCACCUGCUGUGCCUGGACAGCACUUGCCAUACUGGGUUGUUUUUUUCGCUCUUUAAUGGUGUUGGUCUGUCUCCCCAGUUGGACUGUAAGUUCUGCGUGGCUAGGAAUCAUGACGGUCUCGACCACCUCUGAUUCUCAGUGUGUGGCACAGGCGAUCAACAAACACGAAUGAACGGAGACAGCAUGACAAUCCUGCCCCAGCUUCCUGUAAGAAGAGCAGGCCGCAGGAUUGUGAGUGCCUCUCGGCCUCGGUCUGCAGCAUGCCUGUCCUGCACAGAGCUCCCUGCUAGCCUUGCAGCUCUCCCGUCCUCUCCUGCUCUGGCCCGGGACGCCUCGAACACUCAUUAGGGUUUCUUUAAUCUACUCUGGCAAGCUGCCUGCUGAAACAUCACCCUGAGAAAUGAAGUACAGGCAAACCCGAGAAGGAGAGGCAGGGCUGGGUGGAAGGGUGGGCUAGAUCCAGAGAACAGAUGGUCCAGAGAUAGCCCGGUCUGCAUUCCCAGGCCUGGCAGCACAGCACAGCUGAAGGGAAAGCAAUGAAGAGUGCAAGGAAUCAGCAAAAGGCCAAAGUUACAGAGAGGGAGAUCCAGGCAAUGUGGU
rnacentral:lncRNA from 1 species